UGAAUUGUUAUUCCUUUUUAUGUAUUUAUUUUACAGAUUUCCUUACAAUGCCGGUUGUAGCAGAAAUGGUCUCUUCUGCCUUCUGAGGUGUAUGUACAGCCUUUAAGAAAUGAAGUGGAACCAAAAUGAAAUAGUGAGCGCCCUAGCUAUUGAAAUCCGCUCAUUCACAUUGCAGAGACAAGGAUUAUUCCAUGAAAAGAAACAAGACUAGAACAUCAAGAGUGGGAGAGUAUCCAUUCAACUACAAACUUGCCCGAACCAUGGCUCUCUGCUUUCUCCUCCUUGCCUGGUUGUUGCCCAAGGGAAGACUACAGUCUGGGAUAAACUCUGCUCUCCAACAAACGUAUCACACAUAUGAUGUUUCUGAGCUUGUGCCUCUGCAAGGCCAUGCACUCUACUGCGCUGAGUCCAAGAGAAGAUUUCCAAGUGAUUGCCAGUGA
rnacentral:lncRNA from 1 species